rnacentral:rRNA from 1 species
ACUACGUGCCAGCAGCCGCGGUAAUACGUAGGUCCCAAGUGUUAUCCGGAAUUACUGGGCGUAAAGAGUCUGUAGCCAGGUUUGUAAGUCUGUUUUCAAAUCCUAUGGCUUAACCAUAGAGAGGGAAUGGAUACUGCAAACCUUGAGAUUAUUGGGGGUUGAUGGAAAUUCCGGUGGAGCGGUGAAAUGCGUUGAUAUCGGAAGGAACGCCAAAAGUGAAAGCAGUCAACUACAAUAAAUCUGACGGUCAGAGACGAAAGCUUGGGGAGCAAACGGGAUUAGAUACCCCGGUAGUCCAAGCCGUAAAUUAUGCAUGCUAGGUGUCUUGUUCACUUUAUGUGAGCGGGGUGCCGUAAUCUAACGAGUUAAGCAUGCCGCCUGGGUAGUAUAUUCGCAAGAAUGAAACUCAAAGGGAUAGGCGGGGGAACACACAAGCAGUGGAUUGUCUCGAUUAAUUGGAUAAUAAGCCAAGAAUCUUACCUAGACUUGACAUAUAUUGUGUCCUACGUGAAAGUGUAGUAAUCCCGAUUUUGUCGGGAUACGAUAUACAGGUGGUGCAUGGUCGUCAUCAGCUCGUGCCGCAAGAUGUCCAGUUAAGUCUGGGAACGAGCGCAACCCUCGUUGUUAGUUAGAAUGUCUAACAAGACUGCUCCGGCAACGGAGAGGAAGGAGAGGAUGACGUCAGAUCAUCAUGCCCCUUACGUCUAGGGCUUCAUAGACAAUACAAUGGAUAGUACAGCGAGAAGCGAUGCCGCGAGGCUAAGCAAAUCUCACAAAGCUAUCCCUAGUUCGGAUUGCAGUCUGGAACUCGACUGCAUGAAGUCGGAAUUGCUAGUAAUGGCGGGUCAGCAUACCGCCGUGAAUAUGUCCCUGUUCCUUGCACUCACCGCCCGUCAAACCAUGGGAGUUGAGGCUCUUUGAAG